rnacentral:rRNA from 1 species
GGGGGGAGCAAGCGUUGUUCGGAUUUACUGGGCGUAAAGGGCGCGUAGGCGGCCACCGCAAGACGACUGUGAAAUCUCCGGGCUUAACCCGGAAAGGUCAGCCGAUACUGCGGGGCUAGAGUGCAGAAGGGGCAACUGGAAUUCUCGGUGUAGCGGUGAAAUGCGUAGAUAUCGAGAGGAACACCUGCGGCGAAGGCGGGUUGCUGGGCUGACACUGACGCUGAGGCGCGAAAGCUAGGGGAGCGAACGGGAUUAGAUACCCCGGUAGUCCUAGCCUUAAACGAUGAAUGCUUGGUGUCUGGGGUUUUAUAGUCCCCGGGUGCCGUCGCUAACGCUUUAAGCAUUCCGCCUGGGGAGUACGGUCGCAAGACUG